rnacentral:lncRNA from 1 species
UGGCACUUGGGUUUCCGAAUCCAUAACCAGCACCCUUAAGUCUGAUAGUGGCCUUCUGCAGAAAGCAGCAUGUAGCACGGGAACUCGAUAGUGACCAGUUUCCGAGCGGUAGAAUGCGAAAUCCCAAUAGGUAUCGGUAGUUGCCUCACCUAGGAUGGCAGAAUACGGUCCCUUAAAAUACAAAUCAAAUACCCCUGGGUUAUUAAGAACUUUCGGGUCGCCAUGCAGUCUCCGGGUCCUGAAAAAAUUUCUUCAGGACCUAGAAAAGGUAAACCUCUUGGUUCUUUAUAACCCUCGGGCCCAACAACGACCUUAGGGUCUGAAGGAACCUAUGGGUUCCCAAACGACCUCUGAGUCAAGAAGCAAUUUCCGGGUUUAAAACGACCUUAGGGUCCUAAAUACGACCUCAGGGUCUAGAGGAACCUCCG